GGGGGUGUAGCUCAGUGGUAGAGCGCGUGCUUCGCAUGUACGAGGUCACUGGUUCAAUCCCUGGUGCCUCCA
rnacentral:tRNA from 1 species